rnacentral:rRNA from 1 species
UACGUAGGGACCAAGCGUUGUUCGGAAUUACUGGGCGUAAAGCGUGCGUAGGUGGUUCGUUAAGUCUGUCGUGAAAGCCCCGGGCUCAACCUGGGAAUGGCGAUGGAUACUGGCGGGCUAGAGUGCGGUAGAGGAGAGUGGAAUUCCCGGUGUAGCAGUGAAAUGCGUAGAGAUCGGGAGGAACAUCAGUUGCGAAGGCGGCUCUCUGGACCAGCACUGACACUGAGGCACGAAAGCGUGGGGAGCAAACAGG